rnacentral:lncRNA from 1 species
CAAGAACCAGCCAGCAAAAGUGGCAGCCGAGCAUGCGAGGGACUGCUGAUGGCUUUUUAUUAGGAAGCUAUGCAACUUGAGGUUCUACUGAAAAGGAGAAGAGGCCACUGGAGAUGGGAAGCCACGAAAACGGACGAGAAACUACAGCAUUACUUCUGCAGAUUCACAAAGGAGUCCACGUUCCAAGAUGAGAGAAAUACCAGAAGCCGAUGGCUAUUCUACUUGACUGAAUGAAAAGAAAAGGAAGGCACUUCCUGUCAAUCCUGCUUUGGAUUCCUAGACAGUUUAAGAAGCACCAUUGAUCUGAUCAUUGGCACUGAGGAGGAAAUGCCCAUCCGCAGAAGACAUGCAGGGCUCAACCCAGCUUGACAUGGGCAGUGAGUGGUUUCUGAUGUAACCCUUUCUGUAAACUACCCCCUCACACACAUGUAAACCCCUGCUUCCUCCUUUAAGUAGCCACAUUGGUGGUGCCUCUGUUGUAAGGUUACAGGGGAGAAUGACUAGACAGUAGUGAGGAAAGCAUUUGGGAAGGUGAUUCGUUUCUGUUUUUCUGGUACUCUCCCAAAACAGGAGAUACUCUUGUUGCAUAGAUGCAGUCAGUGGUUUCUUGCAGUCAGUGGUUUCUUGGAUUUGGGGAGUUAAAAGUCAUGUGACACAGGCCUAUUGACACAUCGAUGUGAGGAGUUUAAGGUAAUGCUGCUGUGAUUGAGAAGAAUCGCCCCAGUAAAGCUUUAGCAUGAAGCCAAGCAGCUUAUAAUGACACAGGAUUCUCAAUGAAUGAAGUUUUAAGGGAUAAAAUCUUUACAAUGAAAUAAAAACAAUCUUAAGAAAAC